UAAGCCACUGCGCCCAGUCCUCUUUCUUUUUUUCUGAGACAAGGUCUUGCUCUGUUGCUCAGGCUGGACUGCAGUGGCACAAUCGUGGCUCACUGCAGCCUCAACCUCACAGGAUCAAGUUAUCGUGCUACCUCAGCCUACAGAGUAGCUGGGACUACACUUGUGUACCACCAUGCCUGGAUAAUUUCUGCAUUAUUUUUUAGAGAUGGGCUUCCACUAUGUUAUCUAGGCUGUACUCAAAAUCCUGGACUCAAGCUCCGAAACUCCUGGGAUUACAGGCGUGCACUACCACGCUGGCCUGUUUUUAUCAUCUCGAAAAGAAACCGCAUACACUUAGGCUGUCACUCCCUUACCCUUCUACCCCCUAGUUAUCAGCAACCACUAAUCUACUGUUUGUCUACAUAGAUAAUUUGCCUAUUUGGACAUUCUAUAUGCAUGGAAUCACAUAAUAUGUGGUUUUAUGUGACUGGCUUCUUUCACUUAGCAUAAUGUUUUGUUUUGUUUUUAAUUUUUUGUUUGUAGAGACAGGGUCUCUCCCUCUGUUGCCCAGGCUGGUCUCAAACUCCUGGGUUCAAGUGAUCCUACUACCUAGGCCUCCCAAAGUGCUGGGAUUAAAGGCGCGAGCCACCCCAUCUAGCCCACGCUUAGCAUAAUGUUUUAAAGCUUCAUCUAGGUGAGAGCAUGUAUCAGUACUUCUUUUUUAUAGCCAAAUUAUAUUUCAUUGUAUGGAUAUACCACAUUUUGUUUAUCUAUUCAUCAGUUGAUGCACAUUUAGGUUGUUUCUACCUUUUGUCAAAUAUGAAUAAUGCUAAUAUAAACCUUUGUGUAUGAGUUUUUGUACGGAGGGCCUUUGUUCUCAGUUGUAGUUUCAGACUGGGUUCUCUGCCUUUUAUGUGAUGUGUUUCUUCUUUGCUGCCUGUAGUAUGUUUGCCUAAUGGAAAGGUCACUGUUUUUUUCUUUUUUCUUUUUUUCCUUCUCAAAGUUAUCAUGGGCAGACCUAGAACAUUUUCUUGGACUUUAGUGCAACUGAAAUCUUUUUGAUAGCUUUCUCAUUCAUUUGAGACCAAUGUAUCUUCCCUUCAGAGCUAUAGUUUGAGUACUGGGUACAGUUCUGCGUAGAGUCACUUCUCUGUAGUCUGAGAAAACCAUAGUGCGGGAGGGAAGGAGCUUAGACAGCACUAAGUUGAAUUCUUGCUUGAGGACCUGGAUUCUGAUCGCUCAAUAAAGAUCCUCUUGGCUGGGCGCGGUGGCUC
rnacentral:lncRNA from 1 species